ACAGAGACUGAGUAAUACAUAAACUUCGGGUUUAAAAGACUGCUAGCGAGGCGGGCGAAGUUCCGCCGCAGACACUGUGCAGCGCGGAGGCUCUGCGGGCUCCGGCGGGGGAGGGUGCCGCCGGCCCCCGCUGCGCCCCGGAGGUGCGGGGCAGGAGGGAGCCCGCGCCGCUGCGCUGCCGGCAGCGAAACCCGUGUCAGGAGAGUCAGGAUUCCGCAGGGCGCUGAGAAAGGAGGCUGGAAACGCACGGCAGAAGUAAUAGGAAGUCUUUAGUUUUCUCAGCCUUGUAAAGGCUGUUCUCAAAUGUGUGCGAGACCCUUCCCAAGCCAGGAAAUGUUCUGAUCCUUCCUUAGUCGGCUGCAGAGCAUCCUAAGGAAAAUACUGCGGCGGCCAGGCGUUGAUUUGGAGGAGGAGGGGGGGAGCUGGAAGUUGCAAGAAGUUUUUUUUUUUUCUUUUUAUCUGCCUCUCUCUAUAUCGGCUCAUCUUUCACUAGCUUUCUAUUACCUAUAAGCUGCCCGACGUGACGUGCCCUCGCUGCGCUGCCUGCCCCGAGUGGCACAGCGCGGCGGCCGGGCCGGGCCGGGGCCGGGGCCGGGGAGGGCGGCCGCAGGCUCCCAGCUGCUCUCACUUUCUUCAGCUGUAAAGACUUCGAUUAGUUUCACGUGUGUGCAUUUUCCUAUUGCAGCUGCACUCAGCCGCAUAUAUGCAUGUAUUUAUGAAUUUAGUGACAUGUAUAUUUUAAGAGAGAAGAUGCCCUGGCACUGUUCUCACUCAUACAUAAAUACACGCACGUUUGGAAGAUGCCAGCGGAUUGCAACCUCAGGAGCUAAACGAUUUCACUGCGAGAAACAUUUGUGAGGAAAAGCACACCACCUACUACGUAGGAAGGACGGUGCUGCUGCCCGGCCGCUUGUGCGUUGCGGCAGGGAGCGGCGCGACCUGCGCGGGGACCCGGCGGGGAAGGAGGCGAGCGCGGGGCGCUCCGCGCAGCGCUGCCGCCUCCCCGGGCCCCGCGGCCCCCCGCGCCCCCCGGCCGGCGCGGCCCGCGCCAGCUCCGCGGCGCCGCCGGCAGCGCAGCGCCCGCUCCCUCCCGGCAGCCUCGGCCGCGCUGCCGACACGCAGAAAGGACAGAGGGGACUCGAGCUUCUCCCGGGCAAGCACACAGAAGAAACUAUUUUCAUUGACAGUCCAACAGACGAGUAGGUAUCUGGCAAGUUUGCUUAAAAAGAGAACUGCCCGCAACCGAAAAGCGCCGCUCCACUUCGGCAAAACCCAAAGCCUUGUCAAUAAGCACUGUAACUGCAGUAAUAAUCUGAGGAGAGAACAAAGGCAUUUUGUAGUAUCUACAUAACUUUAUUAGAGCAAAAUUAUUUUAAAAUGCCUGUGAAUUCCCAAACCUCCUGAACACAAAUGAAUAAAAGUUUUUCUUCGGGCUAAAA